rnacentral:rRNA from 1 species
CCAACAGGGAUUGCCUCAGUAACGGCGAGUGAAGCGGCAACAGCUCAAAUUUGAAAUCUGGCCUUCGGGUCCGAGUUGUAAUUUGUAGAGGAUGCUUAGGGUGUGGCUCCGGUCUAAGUUCCUUGGAACAGGACGUCAUAGAGGGUGAGAAUCCCGUAUGUGACUGGCAGCCUUCGCCCGUGUUAAGCUCCUUCGACGAGUCGAGUUGUUUGGGAAUGCAGCUCUAAAUGGGUGGUAAAUUUCAUCUAAAGCUAAAUAUUGGCCAGAGACCGAUAGCGCACAAGUAGAGUGAUCGAAAGAUGAAAAGCACUUUGGAAAGAGAGUUAAACAGUACGUGAAAUUGUUGAAAGGGAAGCGCUUGCAAUCAGACUUGCGCGCAGGUAAUCAUCUGGGGUUCUCCCCAGUGCACUUGCCUGCGCUCAGGCCAGCAUCAGUUUUGGCGGCUGGAUAAAGGCCCUAGGAAUGUAGCUUCUCUCGGGGAGUGUUAUAGCCUAGGGUGCAAUGCAGCCUGCUGGGACUGAGGACCGCGCUUCGGCUAGGAUGCUGGCGUAAUGAUUGUAAGCGACCCGUCUUGAAACACGGACCAAGGAGUCUAACAUCUAUGCGAGUGUUUGGGUAUCAAACCCAUACGCGUAAUGAAAGUGAACGGAGGUGAGAACCCUUAAGGGUGCAUCAUCGACCGAUCCUGAUGUCUUCGGAUGGAUUUGAGUAAGAGCAUAGCUGUUGGGACCCGAAAGAUGGUGAACUAUGCGUGAUUAGGGUGAAGCCAGAGGAAACUCUGGUGGAGGCUCGUAGGGGUUCUGACGUGCAAAUCGAUCUCAAAAAUUGCGUAUAGGGGCGAAUACUCAGUCUUUCGCUCCCCCCGCAGGCCUGCCACGGCAGGCUGACAUCUCUAGCAUGCUGGGAUUUUUAGCUAAAUACCAGCAGCCCUUCCCAGGGUUCACAGAUCAGAUGGAGAUGGCUCCGGCGCGCUGGAGUUAAGAUAUGAUCGGAGCGGAUUGUGACCAAUUCGUGCCUAAUCGAAGACUAAUCGAACCAUCUAAUCCAACUACUGGAUGGGAUAUGACAUGACUUGUAGUCUGGCGCGCCAGGCAACACUACCACUGUGCGGGUAUGCCGAGAGGCUACCUGCAGCCCUGUUUCCGGGGUUCACAGACUAAACGGUAGUGGCCCUCCGGGGUUCUGAUAUAGCCGAUUCCCGCUGGAGAGCGGUGCGAAG